AUUGAACGCUGGCGGCAUGCCUUACACAUGCAAGUCGAACGGUAACAGGUCUUCGAAUGCUGACGAGUGGCGAACGGGUGAGUAAUACAUCGGAACGUGCCUAGUAGUGGGGGAUAACUACUCGAAAGAGUGGCUAAUACCGCAUGAGAUCUACGGAUGAAAGCAGGGGAUCGCAAGACCUUGUGCUACUGGAGCGGCCGAUGGCAGAUUAGGUAGUUGGUGGGAUAAAAGCUUACCAAGCCGACGAUCUGUAGCUGGUCUGAGAGGACGAUCAGCCAAACUGGGACUGAGACACGGCCCAGACUCCUACGGGAGGCAGCAGUGGGGAAUUUUGGACAAUGGGCGAAAGCCUGAUCCAGCAAUGCCGCGUGCAGGAUGAAGGCCUUCGGGUUGUAAACUGCUUUUGUACGGAACGAAAAGCCCUGGGUUAAUACCCUGGGGUCAUGACGGUACCGUAAGAAUAAGCACCGGCUAACUACGUGCCAGCCGCCGCGGUAA
rnacentral:rRNA from 1 species